UACGGGAGGCAGCAGUGGGGAAUCUUGCACAAUGGGCGAAAGCCUGAUGCAGCGACGCCGCGUGCGGGAUGAAGGCCCUCGGGUUGUAAACCGCUUUCAGCAGGGACGAGGCGCAAGUGACGGUACCUGCAGAAGAAGCCCCGGCUAACUACGUGCCAGCAGCCGCGGUAAU
rnacentral:rRNA from 1 species